AGCCAAGUCAAAAAGUAAAGAAUAACUCGAAGGAAGGAGUGGAUGGCAAGAAAUACAGGGAAAGCAAUGCAUAGCACAGCAAAGCAAAGCAAGGCAAAAUAGCAGCCAAAGCCACGAGAAUCAAGAAGUCAGUGAAGAGCAGGAAAGGAAUGGAGGAAUCUGGCCAGAGCUGUGCCCCUGCUUGCCACAGGAGCUGCGCGGGAGGAGAAGAAUGUGGGCCAAAAGGUAAGAGGAGCUCCUUUGGGUUCUGGGCUUGAAGCAAAGCUGAGAAGCCAUGCCCGGGAGGAGGUGUGGGUAGCUACAGGCCACCUUGCUAUCUCCCCAAGAGAUGAGGUGUGUGGGCUAGGCACCGGGCAGGAGUGCUGGCCAGAAGCAAGCAUCUCUGUGGAGGAAGGCAAAGGGCGGAGGAGGUUCAAGGGUAGCUACCGGGCAUGGCCUUGCUCAGCAAGGGAGGAAAAGCCUGAAGGGCACGAGAAGGGGAUAGAGAAGGGCAGGCAGUAGGCGUGAAGCUGUGAGCAGAGUAGAGAGCAACUUGGCAGAGCAGCAAGCAGAGUAGGCAAGUGUGAGGUUUGGCGUGAGUAGCAGCAAAAGCCCAGAGCAUCAAGAAGCAGGAAGUGAGGAGAAGGUAAGUGAAGGGCAGGCAAGGUAAUGGGAGGCAAAGGCAAGGGGAAAGGGGGGGUAAGGGAGAAAGAGGGAUGGGGAGGGAG
rnacentral:lncRNA from 7 species